ACUCUCCUGGAGGUAACGCAGAAGGGAACCUGAGUGAAUCUCAGAGCUGUGGUUGAAUGAAGGUAUUCUUAGGCGCCUGCCUGGGAGGGCGAUGAACUUCUGGUGCUAAAAGCGGAAUUGCUUUUCAGUAAAUGUUAUUACUCAAAAGGAAGUUGUUACCGCCACAGCCGCCUCAAGCCACUUCCAACUGCCACACUGUCUGUGGGUGUGACAGGUCUCUCGGGGGCUCCCAGGGACCCCCCCCCAGCUCUCCCCCCACCCCAGGGCAGGCUCUGGCUGUCUCCGCUGACUCCGGCCAGCUGCAGAUGAAGUCCAAGUGCCCACAGGCUGCCUCGGCAUCACAUCUCAAGAUCCUUUGUCCAUCUUGGCAACCUGCCUCCCUUCAUCCCUGUUUCCUCUUCUGUAAAAUGGGAGAGGGUGAUGCCACUCUACAUAAAGAGUCAAACAUAGUAAAUGACUGUAGCAGAGGUAAGGUUGUCAUUAGUCCUGAAAAUGACUCUGAAUUCAAAGCAGACAGACCAGGGCUCAGAGCUGAGCUCCGCCAUCUACGAGGUGCACGACCUUGGACAAGUCCAUUCACCUCUGACUCUCGGCUUCCUCCUGUGAUAGUGGGGCUAACAGGAAUGCCUCUUGCAGGAGAUUGUAAACCAUCAGGCACCGCGCAGGCUCGCCGCCAACACUGGUCCCCAUGCCUUCUCUUGAUCGCCUUCAAGAGGAGGCCGCUGGGCCAUUUGCUCCGCCCGCGAGCAGCCCGGCCCACGGGGACCAGCUGCGUUCCUCCUUCAUGGAGAACAGUCCGUGAAAGUGUACACUGUCCAGAGAGCAGAUGAGAACCCACCAGGCCAGCCCGUUUAGUGCCUGCCCUGCAGGAGAGUGGGCCACCAUCCCAGCCGAGAGCUAUCAGAGGAUGCCUUGAGCUCUGUCCCUCCACCUGUCACAGCCCUGAAAGGUGGCAAUGAACAUUUGCUGAGCACCACCGGCGAGUGAGCACUGCGCUCCGUCGGCCCCACGUCACCGAGCCUCCGCAGCCACCCCCCAAGGUGGGGCCUCCCGCUGCCCAGCCUCUGGCAGGUGUGGCAGCGGAGGCUCUGGGAGGCGAGACGUCUAGUAGGCUGAGAUGGGAACCCAGGCUGUCCCACCGCGAAGUCACGCGCGUCACCACCACACCACGUCUGAUAUUUGAGAUUCUGAUGGUGUCCCCAGGCCCCCACAGAUAACGCCGACGUCCAGAAGUGUGUGGGCAUACAAAAAUCAUGUUUGUGUUUCUUAUUAAAUUUCUUAUUUUGAGAUUAUUAUCAACUCGCAGGAAGUUGUAAGAAAUAAACAGAGAAAUCCCA